rnacentral:rRNA from 1 species
AUUGAACGCUGGCGGAAUGCUUUACACAUGCAAGUCGAACGGCAGCACGGGGCAACCUGGUGGCGAGUGGCGAACGGGUGAGUAAUACAUCGGAACGUGCCCAAUCGUGGGGGAUAACGUAGCGAAAGUUACGCUAAUACCGCAUACGAUCUACGGAUGAAAGCGGGGGAUCGCAAGACCUCGCGCGAAUGGAGCGGCCGAUGUCAGAUUAGGUAGUUGGUGGGGUAAAGGCUCACCAAGCCAACGAUCUGUAGCUGGUCUGAGAGGACGACCAGCCACACUGGAACUGAGACACGGUCCAGACUCCUACGGGAGGCAGCAGUGGGGAAUUUUGGACAAUGGGCGCAAGCCUGAUCCAGCCAUUCCGCGUGCAGGAUGAAGGCCUUCGGGUUGUAAACUGCUUUUGUUACGGAACGAAACGGUCUGCCCUAAUACGGCGGGCUAAUGACGGUACCGUAAGAAUAAGCACCGGCUAACUACGUGCCAGCAGCCGCGGUAAUGAGU